GGGCGGUUAGCUCAGUUGGUAGAGCGGCUCGUUUACACCGAGUAGGUCGGCGGUUCGAACCCGUCACCGCCCACCA
rnacentral:tRNA from 1 species